AAAAAGUGCAUUCAGAUUUUGCCAUAAGAGCGUAUGGAAAACCCUGAACGAACUUUUUGG
ensembl:miRNA